rnacentral:rRNA from 1 species
AAAGGAAUUGACGGGGACCCGCACAAGCAGUGGAGUAUGUGGUUUAAUUCGAAGCAACGCGAAGAACCUUACCAGGGCUUGACAUCCAACGACAACCCUAGAGAUAGGGCAUUCCCUUCGGGGACGUUGAGACAGGUGGUGCAUGGUUGUCGUCAGCUCGUGUCGUGAGAUGUUGGGUUAAGUCCCGCAACGAGCGCAACCCUUACGGUUAGUUGCUACAUUCAGUUGAGCACUCUAGCCGGACUGCCGUUGACAAAACGGAGGAAGGUGGGGACGAUGUCAAAUCAUCAUGCCCCUUAUGUCCUGGGCGACACACGUACUACAAUGGCGAUUAACAGAGGGCAGCAAUACAGUGAUGUGGAGCGAAUCCCCAAAAAUCGUCUCAGUUCAGAUUGCAGGCUGCAACCCGCCUGCAUGAAGGAGGAAUUGCUAGUAAUCGCGGAUCAGCAUGCCGCGGUGAAUACGUUCCCGGGUCUUGUACACACCGCCCGU